rnacentral:rRNA from 1 species
GACGAACGCUGGCGGCGUGCUUAACACAUGCAAGUCGAACGGAAAGGCCCUGCUGUUGUGGGGUGCUCGAGUGGCGAACGGGGGAGUAACACGUGAGUAACCUGCCCUGGACUUUGGGAUAACUUCAGGUAACUGGGGCUAAUACCGGAGAGGAGCUCCUGCGGCAUGGGGGGGGUUGGAGAGUUUCGGCGGUUGGGGAGGGGCUCGCGGCUUAUCAGCUUGUUGGCGGGGUAGUGGCUUAGCCAGGCUUUGACGGGUAGCCGGCCUGGGAGGGUGACCGGCCACAUUGGGCCUGAGCUGCGGCCCAGACUCCUACGGGAGGCAGCAGUGGGGAAUAUUGCACAAUGGGCGGAAGCCUGCUGCAGCCACGCCGCGUGCGGGAUGACGGCCUUCGGGUUGUAAACCGCUUUCGCCUGUGACGAAGCGUGAGUGACGGUAAUGGGUAAAGAAGCACCGGCUAACUACGUG